rnacentral:rRNA from 1 species
UUUCUUUAAGAAAGUAAGAUCCCUGAGAGAUGAUCAGGUAGAUAGGUCAGGAGUGGAAGUACAGUGAUGUAUGGAGCGGACUGAUACUAAUCGAUCGAGGACUUAACCAAU